rnacentral:rRNA from 1 species
CUUGUACACACCGCCCGUCACACCAUGGGAGUGGAAUCUGCCAGAAGUAGGUAGCCUAACCGCAAGGGGGGCGCUUACCACGGUGGGUUUCAUGACUGGGGUG